GCUUUUAAAGGAAAACAGCUAUUCCCCUGGUCUUAGGCUCCAGUACCUCUUGGUGCAAAUCCAAGUAAAAGCU
rnacentral:tRNA from 1 species